rnacentral:tRNA from 1 species
CAGAAGAUAGUUUAGUUUAGAAUUCUGGCCUUGGGAGCCGGCGGCGGGAGUUAGAAUCUCCUUUUUCUGG